UCUGUCUUAAUAAAAGAUAUUGAAUUUAACUUUUAAGUGAAAAGGCUUAAAUAAUCUGAAGGGACGAUAAGACCCUAUAAAACUUUAUAUUUAAAGGUAUAAAUUAUUUUUAUUUAUAUGUUGGUAUUUAAAAGUAUUUGGUUGGGGCGACAAGGGCAGAAUAUUAAGCAACUGUCUUUUUUUUUGACAACAAUAUUUGGUUUAAUGAUCCUAAAAAGGAUUAAAGAUUAAGUUACUUUAGGGAUAACAGCGUAAUUUUCUUUGAGAGUUCUUAUCGACAGGAAAGUUUGCGACCUCGAUGUUGAAUUAAAGGUUCUUUAUAGAGUAGAGACUAUAAUAGAAGGUCUGUUCG
rnacentral:rRNA from 1 species